UACGUAGGGAGCAAGCGUUGUCCGGAAUCAUUGGGCGUAAAGCGCGUGUAGGCGGCUUGAUAAGUCUGCUCUGAAAGCCCGGGGCUCAACCCUGGGAGGCGGGUGGAUACUGUCGAGCUCGAGUCCGGAAGAGGCGAGUGGAAUUCCUGGUGUAGCGGUGAAAUGCGCAGAUAUCAGGAGGAACACCGGUGGCGAAGGCGGGUCUCUGGGCCGAUACUGACGCUGAGGAGCGAAAGCGUGGGGAGUGAACAGG
rnacentral:rRNA from 1 species